rnacentral:tRNA from 1 species
GCCGCGGUAGCUUAGCGGAAGAGCGCGUGGCUGUUAACCACGAGGUCGUCGGUUCAAAGCCUUUUGCGCCAAUGCACGUAAGUAAACGCGCAAAAGCCUCUAGGGAAAGUCCGCCUGUGCACGGAAAUGCCGGGCAUUUCCGGCCGCGAACCUCGAGAAUCCGACCCGCGGCGCCA